rnacentral:lncRNA from 1 species
GACAAAUGACGUCCCUCUUUUCCACCUGCCAAUGAGGAAGAUCUCAGAGUGAGUCAAGACUCGCAUUUACCAAGUCAGCUGGAGUAGACUUAGAUUCUAAGCUCCAGUUUCAUGCUGUGGCAUCUGGGGAACCCGAUAACACUACCGGAAAUCCCCCUCUUUCUCCUUCCACGGGCCAGCGCAGAGGGGAGCAGAGGAACAGUUCGCCGCGUAGCAGCCGCUGGGGCGCUGGGAGCGGCGGGAAGGGUGGAAGAAGGCAGGCGCAGAGGCCCGGAGAGGCGGGAGCCAGGUCGCGGCCCCGCAGCCGCUCCGGUCUCAGUCCGGGUAUUCUCGGUGGCAGAGCCCGGGCCUGGCCGCCGGCGCCGCGGGUGGGAGGACGGCGCCUGGAGCGGAGCCCGGAGGCGCGAAGAGGAGGAGCGGGUCUCAGUCCUGGGAGCGGGAACAGCGCAGGCAAGCCGGGGAACCUCGGGGGCGGUGACCGAGGGCUGGACAGCUCGGGUCACCGCGGGACCCCACUAGGGGACUACGGGGAACCGGCCUCACCCGCGGAGCGCUGAGAAUAACCCAGCGGGCAUUCAAACUGGCGAGUCCGGCUGCGUUCCUGCGGCCCGCGCCCAGCCGAGCCCUGAUUGGCGUUCACGCAGCCAAUCAUAGCCUCAGGGCCUGAGGUGGGUGGGGCCGGAGCGGGCCGGGCGCGCCCGCGGAGGCGGACCCCGAGGACCCUGUCUUCUGGGUGCGCCAGAAACGGAGGGGGGCCGGUUGGCGCGUCCCGCUUCUCCGCGCCUCGUUGGAAGGCCACACCCGGGCCUGGAGACCUGGACAGAAGCGGACACUGCGACUCAAAACCCCAGGCUCAAUGGGAGAUGCCUACCGUGCAAAGUCCCGGAGCGCUGGCCUGGAGGAAGAGGGCGUCCCGCGCCUGUGCAAAUACCUGGAGAACGCGCGGGAGACGAUGCUGCUGCAGGCACCCCUGUGUUUGUUGCCAAGCAUUCAAAUGAAGAAGAUCUUCAUGAUUAGUUGGUGCUGACACCAAAGGAGCACAAGCAAAACAGCAUGUCCGGGCACAUCUACAGAUCAGUCCAUUUGUAAGGCAAAGGUACAAUUUUUCAGAUGAAAUAUUAGCUCAUUCUUGAUGUUUGCAAUUAAAUCUUUAAUUUGACAAGUUACUGCGUCAUUGAAAAGUG